rnacentral:siRNA from 1 species
GCCUUAGGUUUGCUCACGGGUCCA